rnacentral:siRNA from 1 species
GUGUUUGGGUAUACACAUUGGAA